rnacentral:rRNA from 1 species
AUAAAAUUAAGUUAAAAUAUAUGUUAAAUUAAUAUUAGGAUUAAGCAAAUAAAUUUUACUUAAUAACACUUAUAAAUAUACCUAAUAUUAAAGAUAAUUAAUAUUUAAAUAAACUAAUUAACGUGCCAGCAGUUGCGGUUAAACUUUAUAUAAAUUCAUAUAAUAAUAAAUUAAAUUAUAUCAUUUUUAUCAAAAUUAUUAUAAAUCAAGUGAUAUUUAAUAAAAUAAUAAAUAAAAUAAAUUAUUUAAUUAACAAACUUAAAUUUUAAAAUAGGAUUAGAUACCCUAGUAUUUUAAUUUACAUAAGGUAGUAACUAAUAAACCUACUUACAACGGCGGCUUUCAUUCUUAUUAGAGGAAUCUGUUUUAUAAUCGAAAAUACACGAUAAUUUUUACUUAAAUUAAUAAUUUAUAUACCACCAUCAAGAAUUAAUAACAUUAAUUACUCAAAAUAAUAAAUAAAAAGUUAGGUCAAGGUUUAAUCCACAUAUAAGACCAUAAUGGAUUACAUUAAAAAUAUUUAAGGAAUAUUUUUUAAAAUAAUUAAGAAAAGGGAUCUAUUAGUAUUAUUAUAAUAGUAUUAUAAAUUGAAUUAGAUUAAUAAAGUGCACAUAUCGCCCGUCACCCUAAUUUUAAAAUUAGGUAAGUCGUAACAUAGUUGAUAUUUUGGAAAAAGUAUCAAG